UACGGGGGGAGCAAGCGUUGUUCGGAUUUACUGGGCGUAAAGGGCGCGUAGGCGGUCAGCACAAGUCAGUUGUGAAAUCUCCGGGCUUAACUCGGAAAGGUCAACUGAUACUGUGCGACUAGAGUGCGGAAGGGGCAACUGGAAUUCUCGGUGUAGCGGUGAAAUGCGUAGAUAUCGAGAGGAACACCUGCGGCGAAGGCAGGUCUCUGGGCCAUAACUGACGCUGAGAAGCGAAAGCAUGGGGAGCGAACAGG
rnacentral:rRNA from 1 species